rnacentral:siRNA from 1 species
GGCAUACGCAAUGUCAGGACGUGU